UGAACCCGUCGGUUUUGUUUAAGCGCGCGCAGUUCAUCCCGUGCAUGCUGUCAGUGUCAGCUGUGCAGAUCGGAUGUCAGUCAGUUUAGCGCUACAAAACGAAAGUAAGUUUUAGUUUUCAUGUUUGCUGCGUGAUUUGAACGUGAUUUGCUAGUGUUUACACAUAAUAUGGAUGGAAACACGCAACUGCUCCGAAUCAAGAAAAGAUCACUGCAUUUCUACUGUAAGCAAUGCAAGCUGCGUGUAUGUACAAGCAUCGAAGAUGGAUAGCAGGAUACAUGCGUGAUGCACUGCAGUAUAUUUUAGGCCUAUACAGUGUGUAUCGGUGACAUUUCUCCUUUGGGUGAAACAUGAUUGAAUUAUUGGAUGGACAAAGUGACGCUGACAGCGUGUUGAGUUUAUGCAAGCUUUCCUUCCAUAUCUUCAUGAUUUAUGAUUGAUGGUCAUACUCGUAAGUGUCCAGUUGAAAGUGUAAUAAUGCAUUCAUGAUUAUUAUGUAGGCCCAUGCACCAGCAGUCGCAACAGAACAUCAUUACUGACAAUAGACAUGAUAUGCCUUAGUGCAUGUCAGUUGUCACAGAGAGUAGGCCUAUGUCAUAUGAGAUGACAUGUGUGGGAUUCCAGAUGCAUGGCAUGUACCACAGAGGGUUAGGAACCAUUGCUCAAAUAAUGUUUUCACAAUCACAGCAAUGAAUGAAUGAUGUCACUGCCAUUGAUGCAAACAAUGGCUCAAGAGACUUGUCAUUCUCAAUACCUGACCCAUCACUGCAAAAUGGGUCGCAUGUCGCACAGAAGAUGAGCCUAAAAUGACACCAGGACAUAUUAUUAAUACAAGAAAUUGAUACACUCAGAUUUCACAAAAGGCAGACUAUAGUGAAAUGAACAACCAGUCUUUCUCAACUUGUCAAGCUCGAAGUGAAGUGCGACUCGUUUUGCUGUUAGUGGGUCACAAAUGGUUUUGUGUUAAAAAACUCUUUAAUAUUUUCUGAUCUUUUUUGCAGUGUCCGAUAGUUCUGACCUAGGUGAUUUUGGGAGUAACCUGAAAAAGGCUAUUGCGAGUGUUCCAUCCCAGCAGGUACAUGUACAAGUAGCCAGACCGAGGCCAAUAGCCAGACCAUGACUGAGAAUGCCACAUUGAAAUAAUGAGUCAUCACACUCACAGUCUAGGUCCUGAACACCAGCAGCGCAUCUGGUAGUGGUCUGUAAUUAUUUCGACCUCGGUCAUCAAUACCAGCAGCCUCUGGUAGUCGACUUGGGUCAUCGCACCAGCAGCCUCUGGCAGUCAACUUGGCCUUGGGUUAUCAACACCAGCAGCCUCUG